UGAAGAGACAAAGACGCUGUCUAUUUCCUCAAGAAAGUUUCUUGUUAAAGCUGCUGUCAGUGACCUCGUAGAGAAACAUGGAUUCUAUCCAUCUGGUGCAGAAAAGCUAGCACUAGCAAAGGAGAUUGUGUCAUUGUUCCCCUCGUUAAGGAUUCAAGUGCCCUUUGGUGAAAAUGAGGGACACGAGCAGUUUUUUGAUGGACCAUCACACAGUGGAUUUAUAGAAAUGAGACUACGGAACAUCAGACGGAAGCUUCAGCAGAGCCAGCGGAUGUACAGUUUGAAACGUCAUCAUUGCACACAGCAACCUUCUUUGUCAAGUCCAGAUGAAACUGUGCCAAGUGAGUGGUUGACCCUGAUAAAGAGGAUGCGACCGUCACCAGAGAAUUCAUCAUCA